UUAAUGGAAUAAAAAUCCAAGACUGAAGAUCUCAACUAGGAAUCCCUGGAGAAAUACAAGGAUACAAUUUUAUGCUGGGUCUGCCCUGCCUAUCUCACAGAAGCUUUCUUCAAAUAGCCUUUGCUCUUCAGGGUGUUUUGACCUUGAACUGCUUUGGGUACAACAAGAAAAAGCAGCUGGAAAAGGAGGCAAAAGGCAGGCAGAGAAACGUCUGCUGUGAGCUCCCUCAAGCAGCCUGGGCUGCCCAAAAUGAAGGAAAGCCUUCACCUGCCCAUGAGGAAAGAAGGCAAAAAUACAUGGUCUUUGACAGAACUAAAAGCUUGAUUGUUGCCAGAAGCUUUGCAUCACUUGCUGAUUGACAUUAUUUCUGCUGUUUGCCCAUGGACUUUAGCUCCAGGACUUCUCUCUAACUCAGAGACAACAGCUCCCAAGCAGAUGCAUCAACUUUUGCAACAUUCACCUCUGCUGCAGGCACAGGCAGUCCAGGAGAGGACUGGCAAGACACUCAGCCCCUGCUUCUGGGCAAAAAAAGGGGUCAGCAAGAAACAUCUAAGUCAGGCAGGGGUCAGGAGGGCCUGCUGCUUGACAGCUCCAGCCUGGGGAGGCAUCUCAGAUCCUCAUCCACAGCCCAGCCACGAGCCUGCACUGAGAGAGCUGCCUGGGAGAGCCUCAGCAGCAGCAGCCACUGGGAACACUGCUGAGGCUCACGGAGUAAGCCAAGAACCUGAGGCAGCUGCAGCAGAGGUUCGCAGCCCGGGGUGA
rnacentral:lncRNA from 1 species